UCUCCGUAGGUGAACCUGCGGAGGGAUCAUUACAGAGUUCUCGCCCUCGCGGGUAGAUCUCCCACCCACUGUUAUCGUUACUGUGUUGCUUUGGCGGGCCGCCGGGCCCCGCUCGGCCGCCGGCUCCGGCUGGCGCGCGCCCGCCAGAGGCCCAGCAAACUCUGAAUGUUAGUGUCGUCUGAGUACUUUACAAUAGUUAAAACUUUCAACAACGGAUCUCUUGGUUCUG
rnacentral:misc_RNA from 1 species